AGCCGCUGGACUUUGAUUACAUUACUAGUAGGGGCUGUGGAUUUUGGAACCUACAACCAAAGAUGACAUCGAAUGUGUCCGCUUGUGCUAUUGCGAAGUGUGAUUACUGUGGGAAAGAUUACUCAAUUUUCACUUCUAAGUCAGGGUCACAUGGUCAUAUUUGUCCAUCACACUCAGAUGAGGGGCGUACUUAACAGUAUUUUCUAUGCAUAUUUCCUCUCUUGGAAAUGUUUGUGUUAACUUACAGAUGACAUCAAAUGUGUCCGCUUGUGCUAUUGUGAAGUGUGAUUACUGUGGGAAAGAUUGCUCAAUUUUCACUUCUAAGUCAGGGUCACAUGUUGGAAGGAAAUUUUUUAAAUGUUCAAUGAAUUGCCCCUUCUUCAUAUGGGUUGACCAUCUUAAGAUGUGUGAAUGUGGGAACGGUCAGUGUAAGGUCAGAACUGCAAAGACAAGUGCAAAUUAUGGUCGAUAUUUUUGGUGUUGUCCACAAUCAA